AUAGUGCGAGACAAGAAGCUUCUUCCAAGACUCUUCCCUCUCACCUUUUGUGCUAUUUCUAUCAUACGUUUUGCUUUUACAAAUGUUAUAAAGUUCACAAUACACUUUACAGCAUAUGUAAAAAAGCUGUCUUUUAAGAUCAUUACCUUUUAAGAUUAAAUAUAAGAAAACUCUUUUAUGUAUCUUCCUUUUUACCAUUUCCAGAACUCUUCAUUUCUGUACAGCCAAGUAUCCAUUUGAUAUACUUUUUCUGCCUGAAGAAUUCCCUUUGAUAUUUCUCGUAUCACAGGUAACCUCACACACAACGGAACAAAAUGCUGCCUGAUCCUGCACCAUCCCCAUGAGCAGUUACGAUUGGUUUGUUGUGAUCCAUAGGGUUUUCACUGAUGGAUUUUUGGAAGUAGGCCAUGAGUUGGGAACUGGCUUCACUGCAGUUAGCAACAACAACUGUUUCUUGUGUUCAGAGUGGGGCUGGGGUGCCAAGGCCUUUUCUUAUUGUUUGUACUUUACAUUCAGCUUUUUGCAACAUAGAAAGUUUCCCUCUUCAAGCUCUUCUCCCUCCCCUGGUGGUAGACUAGGCCUGUGAUGCGGCAGAAGGGUUCUCUGUUGUCCUGGUCCAGCCUCAGUCUUAGGCAUAUCAUGAGUGUGAGUUUCUUGCCCCUCCCCAUUGGUAGCAGAUUUCUGCUUGGUAUCAGUAUAGGUGCCGCCACACACCUAUCAGUUUGUCGUAUUAUGCUGUCUUUCAUAUUGCUGUGAUGCUGGAAGCUUUGUCACUGGUAUUUCAAAUACCAGCAGGGUGACCCACGGUAGACAGGUUUCACUGGACCUUCUAGACUAAGACAGGCUAGGAAGAAGGACCUGAAAAAAGGACCAUAAAGAUGUUUACCUUUGUUUUAUUGACUAUGCAAAGGCAUUCGACUGUGUAGAUCAUAACAAACUAUGGAUAACACUGCAAAUAAUGGGAAUUCCAGAACACUUAAUAGUAUUCAUGCAAACCUGUACAUAGACCUAGAGUCAGUCACUCAGACAGAACAAGGGCAUACUACAUGGUUUAAAAUCAGGAAAGGUAUGUGUCAGGGUUGUAUCCUUUCACCACACGUAUUCAAUCUGUAUGCUGAGCAAAUAGUCUGAGAAACUGGACUAUAUGAAGAAGAACUCAGCAUCAGGUUGGAGGAAGACUCAUUAACAACCUAUGAUAUACAGAUGGCACAACCUUGCUUGCUGAAAGCGAGGAGGACUUGAAGAACUUACUGAUGAAAAUCAAAAACUAUAGCCUUCAGUAUGGAUUACACCUCAACAUAAAGAAAGCCAAAAUCCUCACAACUGGACCAAUAAGCAACACCAUGAUUGUGAUGGUUAAGGUUGUGCGUCAACUUGGCUGGGCCAUGAUUAUCAGUGUUUGGCUAUUAUGAUAUAGUUUGGAAGCUAUGUAAUGAUGUGGUCACCUCCAUAAUGAGAUCUGAUAAAAUGUAAUCACCUCCAUGAUGAAUCAGCUAUGAGCAGCCAAUCAGCUGAAAGGGAGUUUCCUUGAGGGUGUGACCUGCAUCCAACAUAUGUGGACUUUCUGGCAAAGCUCUCUGGCUUUUGCUCACUCUGGGUCCUCAUCUGACCUCUAGCAGUUGGGAAGUAAGCUAGCAGCUUACCUUCCGAUCUUGGAUUCAUCAGCCUUCCCAUCCCAUGAGUUAGUAGCCUCCUGCCUAACCUGUGGAUCUUGGGUUCUUCAGCUCCUGCAGCUACGCAAGUCAGGAGAAGCCUCUAGCCUGACACCCAGCCCAUGGACUUAGGACUUGCCAACCUCUACAAUGACAUGAGCAAUUUCUUUGAGAUAAAUCUCUCUUUGCAUAUAGAUAUUUAUAUGUAUAUGUUUCGCUUCUCUAGAGAACCCAUUCUAAGACAAUGAUAAACAGAGAAAAUAUUGAAGUUAUCAACAAUUUCACUUUACUUGGAUCCACAAUCAACACCUAUGGAAAUAGCAGUCAGGAAAUCAAAUGAUGUAUUGCAUUGGGCAAAUCGGCUGGAAAAGACCUCUUUCAGGUGUUAAAAAGCAAAUAUGUCACCUUGAGGACUGUCUUAGACUGUGUUCUCUAGAGAAGCAAAACCAGUGAAAUGUACAUAUAGAGAGAGAACAAUUCUCAGUGAUUUGGCAGUUAUGUAAUGAUGUAGUUUGGCAGUUAUGUAAUUUGGCAGUUACAUAAUGAUGUAGUCAUCCUCCAUAAUGUGAUCUGAUGUGAUCAGCCAAUCAGUUGUAAGGGGAGUUUCCUUGAGGGUGUGGUCUAUAUCCAGUAUAUAUAUGGAUGUUCUAGCCAAGUUUGCUCACUUGCUCUGGAUCCUGCAUCUAGCUCAUCAUCAUCUGACCUCUGGUUCUUGGGACUUGAGCCAGCAGGCUGCCAUAUUGCCUGCUAAUCUUGGGAUUCAUCAAGCUCUGCAGCCUGUGAGCCAGAAGCCUGCCAUCUUACCUGCUGAUCUUACCAGCCAACUUAGCCAUCACAAGGACUAAGGUUUGCCUGACCCAAGUCAUGGUAUUUUCAAUUGCCUCAUAUGCAUGCGAAAGCUGGACAAUGAAUAAGAAAGACCAAAGAAGAAUUGAUGUAUUUAAAUUACAGUUUUGGUGAGGAAUAUUGACUAUACCAUGAACUGCCAGAAGAACAAACAAAUGUGUCUUGGAAGAAGUACAGCCAGAAUGCUCCUUAGAAGCAAGGAUGAUGAGACUGCAUCUCACAUACUUUGGACAUGUUAUCAGGAGGGACCAGUCUCUGGAGAAAGACAUCAUGCUUGGUAAAGUAGAGGGUCAGUGGAAAAGAGGAGGACCCUCAACAAGAUGGAUUGACACAGUGGUUGCAACAGUGGGCUCAAACAUAGCAAUGAUUGUGAAGAUGGCGCAGGAUUGGACAGUGUUUUGUUCUGUUGUGCAGAGGGUCACUAUGAGCUGGAACAGACUCGAUGGCACCUAACAACAAUAACAUCAGUAUAGGAUUCUGGGUCCUGGAUGAUUUCUUGCCUGUCCCCCAGUGACAUAAGGAUUUUUCUUCUACCUUCACCCAGCCACAGUGAGUUUUCACUUGUUCCUGGAAGAGAAGGGUGUAUUAGCUCUCUCCCAGUGGAUUAAAGAUUUUGCUUCAUAAGGGAGAAGAAUCCGAGAAAGUGGGCAAAGCUUCGUGCCCUUCUCCAGCAGCUGAAGAUCACCUUCUGCAGACCUGCACCACUAAGCAGCCACUGGUAGUGAACACAUCAUGGAAGUGGGUGCGAACUCCUUUGCAUCUGGGGCCCCCAGCUCUUCCCGACUGAUGUGUGAGCCCCCUCUUGGCCUUUAACAGUUUAUUUACAAUUGUACCUGAUUUCGUCUUACCCUGCAGUGCUCUGCCACAGGUAAGACGGUUUGUGUGUCCUGUCUCUCUUUGCAGGGGUUGGUCCCUCUUCGGGACUCAGGUUACUUGGUUGUCUUGCAAGUUCAGCUUUUUGAUGAGCUCAGGAAAAGAUAGAGAUACAACUAAUGUAUUACUUUCCUACCACUGCUGUAAGAAAUCACCACAAACAGAAUUGCUUAAAAGAACAUAAUUUAUUAUCUUAAGAGUUCUGGAUGUCGGAAGUCCAAAGAUAUGAUAAAAAAUCAUCAUAAUAAUAGUUCUCCAUAGCCCUUCAAGGUUGAGAUGAUCUCGGAGGCAGAGUGGAACCCAGACUUUCUCUGCCUGCUGUCCUCAGGCCAAUUUGCCGUCUCCAGACUCCCUGGCGCAAACAGCGAAGCACUCAACUUCUAACAAAAAGGUUGGCUUUUGGGUUCCCCCGAAGUCUUCUUCGAAGAGAGAUCUGGCAAUCUCCUGAGAGGUGACGACAGCCUUGAAAAGCCCUGUGGGGUGCAGCUCUACUCUGGCACACAUGGGAUCGCCAGGAGGCAGAACCGACUUUUUUUUGUGGUACUUGCUGCCUCAGCAUCUAUUCAUUCUGCCUAGCUGCCCUUUCACCUAGAUUCCAACAUGGCCACCUCAGUCUUGUCAUCCAGUCUUAAAACAGUGGUGGUCACUCCUUGCCCCUCCUGGCCAUGCCCCAUAUGGUUUCUUGGGAUAGGAAUCUGUUACUAUCUCAUAACUCAGUCUCUCAGCAGUAUAGUUAUUUCUUGUCCCUCCCAGUCACACCCCCUAUAGUUUCCAUUAUAAAAUAAUUCUCCCUUUUCCCAAGCUAAGGCCCUAGAAACUUUUAAACCUAUGAAUAAGACUUCAGUGUGCACUGACCCUGAGACCCCACCCUGCUUGCCAUAUAUAAGUCCUCUCCUACAGUUGCAGCUUGUUGUUGUCUUGCCCACGUGUACAACAGCCAUGUGGCCAGUGUUGGAGUGUGCUGAAGCUUCGUCUCUGGGACUUGUGAGGACUAAAUUCUAUUUGUUUUCUGGCCUUCCUGUGUGAGGCUCACUUCCUUGCACCACACCUGACAGACCAUCCACAGACCCUCUUUGGGUCAAAACUAAUAUACUUGCCUUGUUCCACAUGACUCUGAGCACAGAUCUGACUUCUGGACCCCAAAGUCACUCACUGAGAAAUGCUCUCUAUCCUAUACCCACCCAAUGAGCCAGACCCUCCUCUGGAUGGCUCCAGAGGGCCCUGGGGGCUCUUCCCCCAUAGGUACCUUCACGGGGUGAGGCAGUGAGAAGCCACUUUUACCAGCACUAUGGAAGAGCACAAUGCCUACUAGCUCCCACAAAGCUGGGGGUGAACAGGCUGCUCCCCAUCCCUGCUCUCAGUCAUCUAAGGGCUCAGUCAGGCUCCUCUGGGGAAGCUUCUUCUGUAAGCUAAGGGUCUCACUCCAGGCUCCCAGAAAGUCCUCUAAAAGAGUUUUAGAUGUCUCUACUAGUGAGCCAUGACCUCCCCUUUCCACCUUGCCCACUGUCUUAGUUAUCCAGGGCUGCCGUAACAGAAAUACCACAAGUGGGUGGCUUUAAGAGAAAUUUUUUUUUUAUUGUGCUUUAAGUGAAAGUUUACAAAUCAAGUCAGUAUCUCACACAAAAAUUUAUAUACACCUUGCUAUGUACUCCUAGUUGCUCUCCCCCUAAUGAGAAAGCACACUCCUCCUCUCCACCCUGUAUUCCCAUGUCCAUUCAGCCAGCUUCUGUCCUCCUCUGCCUUCUCAUCUCCCCUCCAGACAGGAGCUGCCCACAUAGUCUCACAUGUCUACUUGAGCCAAGAAGCUCGCUCCUCACCAGUAUCAUUUUCUGUCUUAUAGUCGAGUCCAAUCCCUGUCUGAAGAGUUGGCUUUGGAAAUGGUUCCAGUCUUGGGCUAACAGAAGGCCUAGGGACCAGGACCUCUGGGGUCCUUCUAGUCUCAGUCAGACCAUUAAGUCUGGUGUUUUUACAAGAAUUUGAGGUGUACAUCCCACUGUUCUCCUGCUCCAUUAGGGAUUCUCCGUUGUGUUCCCUGUCUGGGCAGUCAUCGGUUGUAGCCAGGCACCAUCUAGUUCUUCUGGUCUCUGGCUGAUGUAGUCUUUUAUUCACGCGGUAACAAACAGAAAUUUAUUCUCUCACAGUUUAGGAAGCUAGAAGUCUGAAUUCAGAGUGCCUGCUCCAGGGGAAGGCUUUCUCUCUGUCUGCUCUGGAGGAAGGUCUUUGUCUCUUUCUGAGCUUCUGCUCCUGGACAAUGUUCAUGUGGCUUGACAUCUCUCUUCCCCCCUUCUCCUCUGCUUGCUUGUUUAGUCUCUUUUAUAUCUCAAAAGAGAUUGACUCAAUAUACACCCUAAACUAAUCCGGCCUCAUUAACAUAACAAAGACAACCCAUUCCCAAAUAGAAUGAUAACCACAGGCACAGAGGUUAGGAUUUACAAUACAUAUCUUGAGGGGCCAUAAUUCAAUCCAUAACAGCCACUCUGGCCUACACUCAAAUUCUCAAACUUUAGUAGAAGAGUUACCUUACAAUUCAGAUUCCUAAAUUCACCCUCAGAGAUUUGUUUUCAAAGGUGGCAAGUGUGCCCCAGAAAUCUGCCUGCUUUACAAACAUUCCUUGAUUCCUAGAAGAAACUUUGCUUUAGACCUUACCAGACCUGGGCAACAUUUACAGAAAUCCAUUUUUAUCAGGCAAAAUCCUACAGAACCCAGAAGUGUGUUAAAAUCUCACAUGUUCUCACACCUGCUAAGUUAGAGAAGCCAAACACGAUAAAGGAAUUCCCGUAUGAUUCUAUUUAUACAAAGUUCUACAACAGGCAAAGUUAAUCUGUUACAGAAUUUACAUCAGUGGCCAGCCGGGGCAAGGAGGGAACUUUCUAGAGAAAUGUAGGUAUUUUCUAAAUCUUAACUGGAUGGUGGUCACUCAGUGUAUACAUUUGUCAAAAGUCAUCAACCUGUGCACUUGAAA